rnacentral:rRNA from 1 species
AUUGGACGCUGGCGGCAUGCCUUACACAUGCAAGUCGAACGGUAACAGGUCUUCGGAUGCUGACGAGUGGCGAACGGGUGAGUAAUACAUCGGAACGUGCCUAGUAGUGGGGGAUAACUACUCGAAAGAGUGGCUAAUACCGCAUGAGAUCUACGGAUGAAAGCAGGGGAUCGCAAGACCUUGUGCUACUAGAGCGGCCGAUGGCAGAUUAGUGAGUUGGUGGGAUAAAAGCUUACCAAGCCGACGAUCUGUAGCUGGUCUGAGAGGACGAUCAACCACACUGGGACUGAGACACAGCCCAGACUCCUACGGGAGGCAGCAGUGGGGAAUUUUGGACAAUGGGCGCAAGCCUGAUCCAGCAAUGCCGUGUGCAGGAUGAAGGCCUUCGGGUUGUAAACUGCUUUUGUACGGAACGAAAAGCCCCGGGUUAAUACCCUGGGGUCAUGACGGUACCGUAAGAAUAAGCACCGGCUAACUACGUGCCAGCCGCCGCGGUAA